CUACGUUGCUUCUGCACUGCCUAUCAGGAAAAGGGAUUCAAAAUUGAACCUAUAAAUAUCACAGUCCAAUAUGUGAACAUCUACAAGAGCUGAUUGGACAUUACCCUUCAAGCUCUGCUGGUCCUUCCACCUCAGCAACGUGGGCAUAUUUCAGCAGGUCCCUGGGAUUCAGAACUGUGAUAGUGCAAGCAUUUCUGUAAUGAACUUAUGAUGGACACUCUGGAGAGGGCAAACAAGCAGAUACAGUACCAGAGAGAGAAGGCAUCACGGCAAGUGGAAAGGCAGACAGGUUGGAGUGUGAGAGGACAUUUCAGUGCCUGAGGAGAGGCUUGCAUCGCAAUUUCUGGAGUAAGAAUAUCAGCUGAGGGAAGAAGAUAGCCUCUCAAACAGGUCUUUCUCCUGGGCUCUAUUUACACUUAUGGCCACCAGCAUACAGACUCCUGAUGCACCCACACAGUGGCCUAAGUCCCCUCCACAAUUCCACCUUCUGCAGACCAGGAACACUAGAUAAUUCCAUAGUUGGGUGGCCAAUGCAAUCACGAAUUAACAGCAGGUGGACAGAGCAAAUCUACCCAGUGCAGUCUUCCACCUGCCUGCAGGCACCCUCCCCGCACCAGCAUACUUCCACUCCCAUGCAGACUCCUGCCCCCAUGAAGAGCUCUACUCUUCUGCAGCAGCACAAAAUCCAUGCUAAACAUGGAGGGAAGAGAAAAGGAAAACAGGGAGGGGGGCAAGAGACAUGCAGCAGAAGGGGGUUUAUUGUUUUGAACUGGUUUAACUGUUUGCACUUUUAGUAAAAGGUUUUGGUGUUGGUUUAUUACUAGUGUUUUGGUGUGCUGAUGGCUGCCUGUCAAUGGUUUAUUAUUGUGC